rnacentral:rRNA from 1 species
UACGUAGGUGGCAAGCGUUGUCCGGAUUUAUUGGGCGUAAAGCGCGCGCAGGCGGUCCUUUAAGUCUGAUGUGAAAGCCCACGGCUCAACCGUGGAGGGUCAUUGGAAACUGGGGGACUUGAGUGCAGAAGAGGAAAGUGGAAUUCCACGUGUAGCGGUGAAAUGCGUAGAGAUGUGGAGGAACACCAGUGGCGAAGGCGACUUUCUGGUCCGGAACUGACGCUGAGGUGCGAAAGCGUGGGGAGCAAACAGG